rnacentral:rRNA from 1 species
GACCAUCUCCUAAGGCUAAAUACUCUCUAGUGACCGAUAGUGAACCAGUACCGUGAGGGAAAGGUGAAAAGCACCCCGGAAGGGGAGUGAAAUAGAACCUGAAACCGUGUGCUUACAAGUAGUCAGAGCCCGUUAAUGGGUGAUGGCGUGCCUUUUGUAGAAUGAACCGGCGAGUUACGAUUUGAUGCAAGGUUAAGCAGUAAAUGUGGAGCCGUAGCGAAAGCGAGUCUGAAUAGGGCGUUUAGUAUUUGGUCGUAGACCCGAAACCAGGUGAUCUACCCUUGGUCAGGUUGAAGUUCAGGUA